rnacentral:tRNA from 1 species
GGAAAUGUAGCUCAGUGAUAGAGUGCUUACCUGUCAUAUAUGAAACCGUGGGUUCAAACACCAGUAUUCUCC